rnacentral:lncRNA from 1 species
UUGGAUAUAUAACUUAGCAUAAUCCUCAGCUGUAUAAGGCAUGUGAACUAUCAAGAAAUGUUCUAAAUUAGUAAAUCUGUCUAUAAUAACCCAAAUUGAAUCAUGAUGACGAUGCGAAUGGGGUAAACCAGUCUCAAAAUCCACAUUAACCUCUUCCAACUUCUAAGUGGGGAUACCAAACUCUUCCAACGUACUACCAGGUCUUUGGUGUUCUACCUUA